rnacentral:rRNA from 1 species
GAUGAACGCUGGCGGCGUGCCUAAUACAUGCAAGUCGAGCGAACAGACGAGGAGCUUGCUCCUCUGAUGUUAGCGGCGGACGGGUGAGUAACACGUGGAUAACCUACCUAUAAGACUGGGAUAACUUCGGGAAACCGGAGCUAAUACCGGAUAAUAUUUUGAACCGCAUGGUUCAAUAGUGAAAGACGGUUUUGCUGUCACUUAUAGAUGGAUCCGCGCUGCAUUAGCUAGUUGGUAAGGUAACGGCUUACCAAGGCAACGAUGCGUAGCCGACCUGAGAGGGUGAUCGGCCACACUGGAACUGAGACACGGUCCAGACUCCUACGGGAGGCAGCAGUAGGGAAUCUUCCGCAAAGGGCGAAAGCCUGACGGAGCAACGCCGCGUGAGUGAUGAAGGUCUUCGGAUCGUAAAACUCUGUUAUUAGGGAAGAACAUAUGUGUAAGUAACUAUGCACAUCUUGACGGUACCUAAUCAGAAAGCCACGGCUAACUACGUG